CUCGGACACAGCAGAGGGCGCUGUUUUGGCCCGGCCGUAGUGAGUUUCUUUAUGUGCACCAUGUAAUUCUGCAUGUUUUCAUAUAUAAUACAUGAUGAUUAUGUUGAGUUUAUGGCUGAAAGCUUGUCAUAUUCAAUAGCGACAUUUGAAAUUUAGCGCGCGUGGCGAUCUCGGAUACAGUGCGGGGUGUUGUUUUGGCCUGGCCGUAGUGAGUUUCUUUAUGUGUACCAUUUAACCCUUUAUCGGGCAAGUGACUGUCAACAGUCACUUAAAACGGCCAUCUUCUCGGCCUCCUCGUAUAUAUCCGUUAACUCCAAGCUGAUGUGUUCUGGGCGUCAGCCAAUCACAAAACACUCUUCUAUGUUGUGACUCAUGAAGCAGACGGAAUCCUUUGUUUUUAUUGGCUGGGCAGCAAGACAAACACGGCAGUGUGUGAUCGGCUUCGAGACGUGGUGCAUCUAACGUUGAGUGCUCUCCACUCAUCUCGUCUCUGCAUACUACAGAAUGUCGAUCAGCCUCACUUCAUUUUACGGUCAAAACCGCAAAGUCAUUGUACCAACCAACCCUGCUGGUAGUGAUGAUGACCAAGAGCUUGACCUAUCUGCUGAUGAUGACGCUGACCCUGACUUCGAGCCUGUGCUAUCCCAGGAUUCUUCCAGUGAAGAUGAACUCAGGCCUAGCCACCAGCUCAAGCGUCAGAAAGCUUCUUCUCAAACAAGGAACCUUGCAAUAGCUGAUGUGGAAGAUGACUCUGGAGAGGAUGGAAGCGAUCAAGAAAACACCACUUCAGCUUCAUCACCGUCAUGGGAAAAAA